AUGGAUUUGGGGACGGAGAAUCGCCUUGCGGCGUUGCUCCUCGAGGAGGCCCGGAGGCUGCGGAUGCAGGUGGAGAAGGAAGGGGUGCACGCCUAUCUGCAGAAACCUAAUGUGAGGCACCGCCCCUACUCGCGGUUCCUUGCCGCCACCGUUCUUGGCGUUCAUCAAGCAAAUCGAGUUGUGGAAGUUAAUGAGAUGUGGCGUGCCAGGGAGAAGGAGCUGGAGCUGGAAUUGAAGAUGAAAACCAGAACCAAUGGUCGAAUUGACUCGAGAUCCCAGAAACGGAAGAACGACUCAAGAGACCAGAGCCCUGUUUCUAAGACCCAGCGAGACAGACCGUAUGGCGCAUCAUUUUCGUCAAGGGAUUCACAAGGCAGUUCUUAUUCGGACCGGGGGGAUGGGCUAGGCGAUGAUGAAAUCGAAGAGUUUCUUCGAUCAAGGGUGAAGCGCGGGCGAGGAGCCAUUGGUUCUAGAAUGGAUGAGCCUGGCCCAUACCUCAAGCCUCCAUCCGGCGUGAAAGAUAAUUCAGUAAGUCCGGAUGCACGAGUGAAAGAAGAACGGAAGCACCGAGUUUAUGGUCCAGAGAAGCCACUAUUUUUUAGAUCUAAAUACUCAGACGAGGAGCCAUCCACCUCGAAGCACAAGCACAUAAAAGAAGAAAAGAACAAUAGUAGCAACCGAGAGAGAAAGGAGGAGAACAGGAGGUCCAAACAUCACCACCGUGAACAUAAAAGCCGAAGUAGGGAGUGA
rnacentral:rRNA from 1 species